UUGAACGCUGGCGGCAUGCCUUACACAUGCAAGUCGAACGGCAGCACGGGUGCUUGCACCUGGUGGCGAGUGGCGAACGGGUGAGUAAUACAUCGGAACAUGUCCUGUAGUGGGGGAUAGCCCGGCGAAAGCCGGAUUAAUACCGCAUACGAUCUACGGAUGAAAGCGGGGGACCUUCGGGCCUCGCGCUAUAGGGUUGGCCGAUGGCUGAUUAGCUAGUUGGUGGGGUAAAGGCCUACCAAGGCGACGAUCAGUAGCUGGUCUGAGAGGACGACCAGCCACACUGGGACUGAGACACGGCCCAGACUCCUACGGGAGGCAGCAGUGGGGAAUUUUGGACAAUGGGCGAAAGCCUGAUCCAGCAAUGCCGCGUGUGUGAAGAAGGCCUUCGGGUUGUAAAGCACUUUUAUCCGGAAAGAAAUCCUUGGCCCUAAUACGGUCGGGGGAUGACGGUACCGGAAGAAUAAGCACCGGCUAACUACGUG
rnacentral:rRNA from 1 species